AGAGUUUGAUCCUGGCUCAGAUUGAACGCUGGCGGCAUGCCUUACACAUGCAAGUCGAACGGCAGCACGGGAGCAAUCCUGGUGGCGAGUGGCGAACGGGUGAGUAAUAUAUCGGAACGUGCCCAGUCGUGGGGGAUAACGCAGCGAAAGCUGUGCUAAUACCGCAUACGAUCUUUGGAUGAAAGCAGGGGAUCGCAAGACCUCGCGCGAUUGGAGCGGCCGAUAUCAGAUUAGCUAGUUGGCGGGGUAAAAGCCCACCAAGGCGACGAUCUGUAGCUGGUCUGAGAGGACGACCAGCCACACUGGAACUGAGACACGGUCCAGACUCCUACGGGAGGCAGCAGUGGGGAAUUUUGGACAAUGGGCGCAAGCCUGAUCCAGCAAUGCCGCGUGCAGGAUGAAGGCCUUCGGGUUGUAAACUGCUUUUGUACGGAACGAAACGGCCUUUUCUAAUACAAGAAGCUAAUGACGGUACCGUAAGAAUAAGCACCGGCUAACUACGUGCCAGCAGCCGCGGUAAUACGUAGGGUGCGAGCGUUAAUCGGAAUUACGGGGCGUAAAGCGUGCGCAGGCGGUGAUGUAAGACAGAUGUGAAAUCCCCGGGCUCAACCUGGGACCUGCAUUUGUGACUGCAUUGCUGGAGUACGGUAGAGGGGGAUGGAAUUCCGCGUGUAGCAGUGAAAUGCGUAGAUAUGCGGAGGAACACCGAUGGCGAAGGCAAUCCCCUGGACCUGUACUGACGCUCAUGCACGAAAGCGUGGGGAGCAAACAGGAUUAGAUACCCUGGUAGUCCACGCCCUAAACGAUGUCAACUGGUUGUUGGGUCUUCACUGACUCAGUAACGAAGCUAACGCGUGAAGUUGACCGCCUGGGGAGUACGGCCGCAAGGUUGAAACUCAAAGGAAUUGACGGGGACCCGCACAAGCGGUGGAUGAUGUGGUUUAAUUCGAUGCAACGCGAAAAACCUUACCCACCUUUGACAUGUACGGAAUUUGCCAGAGAUGGCUUAGUGCUCGAAAGAGAGCCGUAACACAGGUGCUGCAUGGCUGUCGUCAGCCCGUGUCGUGAGAUGUUGGGUUAAGUCCCGCAACGAGCGCAACCCUUGUCAUUAGUUGCUACAUUUAGUUGGGCACUCUAAUGAGACUGCCGGUGGUAAACCGGAGGAAGGUGGGGAUGACGUCAAGUCCUCAUGGCCCUUAUAGGUGGGGCUACACACGUCAUACAAUGGCUGGUACAAAGGGUUGCCAACCCGCGAGGGGGAGCUAAUCCCAUAAAGCCAGUCGUAGUCCGGAUCGCAGUCUGCAACUCGACUGCGUGAAGUCGGAAUCGCUAGUAAUCGUGGAUCAGAAUGUCACGGUGAAUACGUUCCCGGGUCUUGUACACACCGCCCGUCACACCAUGGGAGCGGGUUCUGCCAGAAGUAGUUAGCCUAACCGCAAGGAGGGCGAUUACCACGGCAGGGUUCGUGACUGGGGUGAAGUCGUAACAAGGUA
rnacentral:rRNA from 1 species